GCUGAAGUGAAGAAGGCUUCUCCAAGUAGAGGUGUUCUGCGCGAAAAUUUUAAUCCAGUUGAGAUCGCCAAAGCUUAUGAAAGAGGUGGAGCAGCAUGCCUUAGUGUUUUGACAGAUCAGAAAUAUUUUCAGGGAAGCUUUGAAAAUCUAGAGGCCAUAAGGAAUGCUGGAGUAGAGUGCCCUUUGUUAUGUAAAGAAUUUGUUAUAGAGGCUUGGCAAAUCUACUAUGCUCGGGUCAAAGGUGCUGAUGCGAUUCUGUUAAUUGCUGCUGUCCUACCAAACCUUGACAUCCAGUAUAUGAUUAAGAUCUGCAAAUUACUUGGAUUGACAGCACUAGUUGAGGUGCAUGAUGAGAGGGAAAUGGACCGUGUCCUCGGAAUUGACGGGGUUGAGCUGAUUGGCAUCAAUAAUAGAGACCUUGGAACUUUCAAGGUGGACAUCAGCAAUACCAAGAAACUUCUGGAAGGAGAGCGUGGGGAAAGAAUUCGGGAGAAGGGCAUUAUUGUUGUUGGGGAAUCUGGACUAUUUACUCCAGCUGAUAUUGGUUAUGUACAAGAAGCUGGUGUCAAAGCGGUGCUAGUUGGUGAGUCGCUUGUCAAACAGGAGGAUCCUGCUAAAGGAAUAAGUGGACUUUUUGGUAAAGACAUCUCCUGCUAAGAUGUAGUCAGCUGACUCCUACUUGUUCCUAUCCAGAGUGGUGAUGUUGAGAUUCUUCCCCACAAUUUUGUCAUAUCUCACCAGUUGUAUUGUUCGUCGCCUGCUUGCAAUAGUGUAAGAUGUAACGUAUGGAUCAUAUGCCCUAUGAAUAGAAAUGAUAAUUUGAUACUUAAUUGGGCGUAUUUGAACAGCUGCGUCGGUUCAAACUAUCAAAUGUGGUGCUUUACACAACUUUACCCGCACGUACCUAAUGAUAUAUGACUCAUGACUUCA
rnacentral:misc_RNA from 1 species